UCCCAUAUGGUCUAGUGGUUUGGAUUUGGCGCUUUCACCGCCAAGGCCCGGGUUCAAUUCCUGGUGUGGGAA
rnacentral:tRNA from 1 species